UACGUAGGGGGCCAGCGUUGUUCGGAAUUACUGGGCGUAAAGGGUUCGUAGGCGGUGUAGCAAGUCGGGUGUGAAAUCUCUGGGCUUAACCCAGAGGCUGCUUCCGAAACUGCUGUGCUUGAGUGUGGGAGAGGCGCGUGGAAUUGCAGGUGUAGCGGUGAAAUGCGUAGAUAUCGUGUGGAACGCCAAUGGUGAAAGCAGCAGGCUGGGGAUGUGCUGACGCUGAGACGCGAAAGCCAGGGGAGCAAACGGG
rnacentral:rRNA from 1 species